rnacentral:rRNA from 1 species
UACGUAGGGUGCGAGCGUUGUCCGGAAUUACUGGGCGUAAAGAGCUCGUAGGUGGUUUGUCGCGUUGUCCGUGAAAUUCCCUGGCUUAACUGGGGGCGUGCGGGCGAUACGGGCAGACUGGAGUACUGCAGGGGAGACUGGAAUUCCUGGUGUAGCGGUGGAAUGCGCAGAUAUCAGGAGGAACACCGGUGGGCGAAGGCGGG